UGGGUUAUAGGUUACUGCAAAGACAUGAUAUAUCUUGGUGAGUUGUUUUGGGGUAUUGGUGUGAAUGCAGAUACAGUAUAUAUUGGACUGAAUGUACAUUUUAUAUUAGAAUAGGAAUUUUCAUAUUUUGGUGUGAAUGUAGCAAUAUAUUUAAGUGUGAACAUAGAGAUAUAUUUUGGGCCUUUCUCUUUGGUUUUUGCUGCAGGGAAAGUGUUGAGAGUUUGAUCCACAAGCACUCAUACGCCCGGUCACCAAUACGCACCUACGCAGGAGAGGAGGAGACACUGGGGGAUGAAGUCCACGCCGCACACAGGGGUUCUGCAUUCACCGCCUCUGACAACCUCUCCCUGAGCUCAUGGGUCACCGCCACCUCUGGUUUCUCAGGCUUCCAGCACCCCCAGUCCCUCUCUUCCAUGGGCUCCAGCAGCAACUCCCUGGCCACCCCCCUGCCCCACCCCAUCCAGGGCUCCCUGCCCCCCUACAGCCGGCUGGGCAUGCCCCUGACGCACUCGGCCCUUGCGGGCACCAUGCAGGGCAGCGGGCCCUCCUUCCCCUCCUUCCACAUGCCCCGCUACCACCACUACUUCCAGCAGGGCCCCUACGCUGCCAUCCAGGGACUGCGCCACUCCUCCACCGUCAUGACCCCCUUUGUAUGACUCCCUCUGGGGUGACUGCCUGGCCGAGUAGCCCCUCAUCAGCUACAACUACGCUUAUAGACACACACUUCCACACACAAGUAAAUAGGCUCACCGAUUUGUCCCCUUCAGCAUCAUCACCACCAUGUCUUUGUAAAUAAUAAGCCACCUGGCCGAGGCGAAUGACUGGACGACCUGGAGAGGCUGCCUGGCUGCUGCCCUGCAUGCUGACAGCUGAACCGGAGAGGAAACAGACUCCAACGGGACCUGGUGAAACAGACACAGAGACCCACAGACUGAUAUGAACACUAGAUAUGAACACUAAUGACCUGCAUAUGAACAUUUACGACCCAGAUAUGAAAACGGAUGAUCCAGGUAAAAAAAAAAAUCUACAACAGAGAUGCUGAGGACUGAUGACCAUGCAAAGUGAUGCGUUGUGGGAAAGAGGUAAGGGUCUGCUUGUGAUGACUGUCGUUUGCCCCUGCCCUCCAACUGUUGGUCACAAUAUUAAUUUUGCACCCACUCUCCAGAAAAGCAUGGACAGGAGAACAAGUGAACUGUCUGGCUUACGGACAUUAAAACUAGAGGGUGUGGUAAUUGUUAGUUCUCUCACAGUUUCUGAGGAAAAUGAAGAACAUGGGACUCCAAAAGUUACGGGAGUGCACAACUUCCAAUCCUGGGCACCGCUUGUGGCCACGGCGGAGAACUGUCUUCACUCCAGCUGCUGGGGCAUGGAGGAAUGGCAGCCAUUUUAGUCAAAGGAUUCCCCCUGCUUGCUGACCAAAACUCACAGGGAGGGUAGAAGCAACAUCUCUCCUCUCCUGCUUGAACUCAAACGCCGCCAAGCUUCCUCUGCAGGCAGAAUCCUAUAGCCUCCUCCAGUCAUGCUGGCUGUUGCCAUGGUAGUCAGAUUUGUGCACAUAGAUGCCCUAGAGACAGAGAGAAGCCAAUUGUCUCUUUCCCAUCUAAAAAGCCAGCCAUGUGUACAGUGAAGAAGUUAUAGUGGAAGAUGAUCAUGUUUGAUAGCAGUACAUAAAGAUGUCCACAUACACACACAUUACGCACACACACUAUAAGACAAAUGUCAUAUUAGAGUGCCAUAUCAUAGGACGCAUGCUGUUUGCAACAGAUAACACAGAAAAUAUUUGUUUAAAACAAUUCUCACCCUGACUGGGUCUCAAACUACUUUUUCAGUUUGCUUUUUCAUCCAAAAAGCUUAUAUUCACCUCAUAUUUUUGUAUGUAUUGCAUCCAAUUAGUAAAACAUGUAUUAGAUUUGUGGGGUCUAUGAAAAGAGAUGUUGGUUCAUAUGUCACAUGUGGAUGGGCCCUAGAAGACCUUUGGAGGACCUCUAUAUCAAAGUCACAGAGGGUUAAAAUUACACUACGUCGUAUCGUAUCCCCAACACCAGCGGAUUGUCUUCUCUAACCAAUCAAUGGCAACUCAGUAAUGUAUCAAUGAAGUACCAAGAGGGAGAGAAAACCAGCAGACUCUGUAGCCAUGAAAGGCUAAGAUGGACUUUCUCUUGCUGUAUUGUCCUAAAGCUUGAUUCACCACCUAACCAACACCUAACCCCUGGCGCCACAUUAUAGCCUGAUUACUGUAGCCUGAUCUAUGUCUGCCUCAGGCUGUGUCGACACUACAGCACUCUGGGAGAAAGUCCACACCUGUAAAUAAUGACUCAGUGGUGCCGCCACUUAGAGGAGGGAUAUUUGUUUUGGUUGUCAUACCGUUGGUGAUUCGUCAGCUAGCCCCUUCUAACCAAAUGACACAGAAGCUAAGAUAGUGACACAAAAUGCAGUGUAUGCAUCGGUGCCUUUGUAGUGUCACUCCUCUCAAAAAAAAUAUAAUUGCAGAUUGAUUCAUCCACUCAAUGAUGCCUCAUGCAGUUUGUUACCACCGUAAAACCAAUGUUAUUGUAAAAUGCCCGUUCUUAUUUUGGCAAGAAAAUUUCACAAAAGGCAGCUUUGUAAACCUCUAAUUCACAGCUAAGAUAUCCUGACAAUUAUUUUUAGUAUGAAGAUCUUUCUUUCGGCAAAAUGGGACAAACUUGGAUGGAAGUGAAGGUCUAAUACAGUAUUUCAUUGUGAGUUUUGUUUUCAAUGCUGAGUCUCUCAAUUUCAUUAUGCUGAACGAACCAAACACAGGGAGCCAAAACACACGCAUAAAUUAGGCUACAAUUUGGCCAUAUUAUUGUGGGCACUAACUCUGCAUUUUGCCUACAUUACUGUUGCCACUUACUCACCACUUGCAUACCAUGUGUCCACAAGCAGUCAGCAGGUUUGGAGUUGGAAUGAGUUUUGCAGUUUUCUUUUUGUUGAAAACGUGUUGUAAGACAACUCUCAGUAGCCUACACAAUGCAUGGACUUGGAUGCUUUAUUGAGGUGCUAUCAGAGGUGAUGAUUGCCAGUGAGGACACUAACUCUAAGGCUUUCACUUGAAAGAGGCAAGUGUUUUCAAUGUUAAACAAUUUCGCAUAAGACCUCUAACAAAGGUCUUCAACUGGUGUUUUCGUCAAUCUAUAGCCUACAUCUGGACUUCCCCAUCUUUGACCAUUUCCUGUUGUAUGCAGCUGCCAAUCUCUCCAUGUCUUUGUAGGAGGAAGGAUUGUAACUUUCAACUUUCCAUUUUGAGCAAUGUGUACGCACACUCAAAGUAUGCCAUGGGAAAUAGAUCUGCAAGGAUUCUGUCAUGUUUUUGUUGUGUUUUUAUUAUUACGUGUAAUCUAAAUAUACAGUAUGACAUCUAACUAGAUUUUGUUUCGUUGAUUUUUUAAGUGCAAUAUAUUUAUUUCUGCUCUGAAAAUGAUAAUGUGUAAUGUACUAUCUGACGCUUAAAAACAUAUGUUAUUUGUAAACCAUAAGAAAUAUAUACCACCCCCAAAACGUC